rnacentral:rRNA from 1 species
UACGUAGGGUGCAAGCGUUGUCCGGAAUUAUUGGGCGUAAAGAGCUCGUAGGCGGUCUGUCGCGUCGGCUGUGAAAUCCCGGAGCUCAACUCCGGGUCUGCAGUCGAUACGGGCAAACUGGAGUACUGCAGGGGAGACUGGAAUUCCUGGUGUAGCGGUGAAGUGCGCAGAUAUCAGGAGGAACACCGGUGGCGAAGGCGGGUCUCUGGGCCGAUACUGACGCUCAGGCGCGAUAGCGUGGGGAUCAAACAGG